UAAGAGGGCAGGGAGAGUUUAUGGCAGGCCUCUCAGAAGGAGGGCAGCGCCUGGGCAGGAGAUGCUGGCCAGGGAAGGUGAUCCAUGAGGCGCUUCAUCCUCCCUCCGGGCCUGCUGCAUUCACAGGGCCCGCCUGGGAGGCCCCAGCCCCUCCGAGACCGGGAAGCCAGACUUUCCGACAGGGUGGUGGUCGCUGGCUCAGGGACCCACGGCCCCAGCUGGACCCUCUUGCCUUCUCUCUCCACCGAAGCGGGGAGCUUGAGCCCUCAGGCUUCCGCUGAGCCCCAGCCACUCCUCCAGGGACAGGAUGAGACCAUCAGGACUGUUUCGUUUCCUGGCCUUCAUCUUUGCCCUGGUCACCUCGUUGAUCUUUAUCCGCAGCUAUGUGAGCUUCCGCAUGAAAACCAUCCGUCUGCCCCGCUGGCUGGCAGGCCCAGGCUCCGCGAAGAAGAUCGAGGUCGUGAAGAUCAAGUGUGACCUCAGCAAGCCCUGCCCAGACAACUUCUUUGCGUUUAAAAUCCUCAGCGGGGCGGCCAAUGUCGUGGGCCCCUCCAUCUGCUUCGAGGACCACAUGAUCAUGAGUCCUGUGAAGGACAACAUAGGCAGAGGCCUGAACAUCGCCCUGGUGAACGGAUCCACAGGGCAGGUGGUGAGACAGGACAGUUUCGACAUGUACUCCGGAGAUCCUAAGCUCCUGGUGAAAUUCCUUAAAGCAAUUCCAGAGGGCGUGCUGGUGCUCGUGGCCUCCUACGAUGACCCCGGGACCAAGAUGACAGAUGAACUCCGGAAGCUCUUCUCCGACUUGGGCAGCUCCUACGCCCGGCAACUGGGCUUCCGCGACAGCUGGGUCUUCUUGGGGGCCAGAGACAUGAGUAACAAGAGCCCCUUUGAGCAGUACUUAAAGAACAUGGGCAACAAGAACAAAUACGAAGGCUGGCCGGAGCUGCUGGAGCUGGAGGGCUGUGUGCCCCGGAAGGUGUUUUAGGGCUGCGGCUCCUCCUGGCGGCCGCCAGCGGGACUGGAUGGAGCAGAAGGACAGCGGACAGAGGAGGAGGAGGCCGGCCAAGCAGCAUGAAGGUGCUGAGGAUCCCCGCACUCUCGGCAGCUUCUCCUCCCGGCUACCGAAAGCCCGACGGGCGAUGGGCGGAGGCAGCUGUCCCGCCCGGAGGUGGCCAGCCUCGGACGGUCCUUCGGAGCCGCUGUCGGCGGAGAGAGCAGGUGCUUUCCGGGGACUCUGCCCGUGGCCCCGAGAGAGGGCGGACUGCCGCACCGGGCGGAAUUAAAUUGUUUUGCUCAUGUUGAA